rnacentral:lncRNA from 1 species
UAGGUCCCAGGCAUCUUAGCUACCAAAAGGGAAAUGCUGGCGUGGUUACGUCUCUGUGGCCCUCGGUGGCAGGCCUGCUUCAUGAAAAAUCUGUCCAUGUUUAUUCAGUGCAUGGAAAGCAGAGGUCAUGGGCUACAUUUUUUCUUUAGCAAGAAUGUUCUUUUGGAAGGAGUUGUCAAAAUAUCACGUUAAUUGACAAACAAGGAGUUACAUGAAGUAUAUAC